AAGCAAAUGAUGAAAUUUACUCGGAUUCCCCUUCAAUACUUGAAUGGAUGAUGAUAUACGAGUUUCUGAUGCU